rnacentral:tRNA from 1 species
GAGUUUAUAGCUUAGUCUGGUAGAGCUUUGAGCUUUUAACUCAAUUGUCGUAAGUUCAAAUCUUACUAAACUCA